AUUGAACGCUGGCGGUAUGCUUAACACAUGCAAGUCGAACGAUGAGAAAGAGCUUGCUCUUUCGAUUAGUGGCGGACGGGUGCGUAACGCGUAGGAAUCUACCUAUUAGUGGGGGACAACUUAGGGAAACUUAAGCUAAUACCGCAUACGCCCUACGGGGGAAAGAAGGGGAUCGCAAGACCUCUUGCUAAUAGAUGAGCCUGCGUAGGAUUAGCUAGUUGGUGGGGUAAAAGCUCACCAAGGCGACGAUCCUUAACUGGUUUGAGAGAAUGAUCAGUCACACUGGAACUGAGACACGGUCCAGACUCCUACGGGAGGCAGCAGUGGGGAAUAUUGGACAAUGGGCGAAAGCCUGAUCCAGCAAUACCGCGUGUGUGAAGAAGGCCUUAGGGUUGUAAAGCACUUUCAAUUGGAAGGAAAACCUCGAAGCUAAUACCUUCGAGUUUGACAUUACCUUUAGAAGAAGCACCGGCUAACUCCGUGCCAGCAGCCGCAGUAACAC
rnacentral:rRNA from 1 species